AGAGAGAAAAGCAGAGAAUCACCGCCACCUCUUUGUAUUGUGUAUAUCAUAUACAAAACAAAAACAAAGAAAAGCAAAGCCCAAAUUUUUUUUUCUUUCGCUCCAUAAGAAUAACCUAAUAAUCGACUCUGUUCUUUCUCAAUUCUCAUCUCCAAGGUUUCUUUUCGAACAAAGGUUUCCAUCCUAACAUUAACAGCAAUGGAAGCAUCUGUCUUGACAUUCUCAAGGAGCAGUGGAGUCCUGCCCUCACCAUAUCCAAGGCAUCAAUUGAGAUGACGAAAGGAGUAGACGAGCCAUUUGAGCCUACGAAGACCCAUGGUGGGGGCAAGAAAGUUUAAAAAUCAAGGGAUAUGUUAUCAACUUUAAACAACAGGAUUGCCAAACUCGAGGGCUUUAUGGGUGAUGUGAGAGAAACCUUUGAGGAAGUUGAGGGAUGCACCAUAGAGAAGGAAUCGAGGCAAGAUCAGCUCAAGGGGCAAGUGACAGAGGUUCUUAGUGCGAAUGUGAUUGCUAUGCUAGUGGUCCUUAAUACUAUUGUGGAUAAUACAACUGUGGGUAAGCUAACCGAGAAGGAUAUCAAUAGUGUGAGAGAUGAAGAAGGACAAGUUAAAAACGAAAAUAGUGAAAAUUGGAAACAAAAUAAUUGAAAGUGGAAGCCCAACAAUAAAUUGAUGGAGCCAGUGGAGUGCUUCUUGUGUUCUGGUCCGCAUAGGGUGCGAGAUUGCCUGUAAUGAUCCAAGUUAUCUGCAAUCAGUAAAGAAGAAGAAACAGAGCCUAUUGAGGAUGGUAUUAAGGCUUGGAUUAAUGAUAUUCAAAUAUGCAAAAGCAAAGAGAGAUCACAAGUAGAAAGGGUUGAUGUGAUCGAAGGAGGAGUGCUCUUGUUGAUAUGGGGGCAUCUGAUUUGUUUAUGUUGAAAAGAGCUGCAAGUAAACUUGGUCUCUCAGUUAGCAAAUUGACUAAGAAGCUUAAGACUGUUAAUUCCAAAGAGGUCUCAACUAUGUAAGUAGCACAAUGAGUUGAGCUACAAACCGCUUAGUGGAAAGACAAGAAAGAUUUUGAGAUUGCAUAUGUAUCUUGGAUACUCAUAAACGACAAUGCGUUGUGCCUGUGAGUUGUGAUGAGAAAGGUGGAACCAAAAUAUUCUCAACAAUCUAGCAAGCUAAGAAUGUUCAUUGUGCAAUUCCGUGCAUUAGAAGAAAUGCCGGUCUUGAAGGUCACCUUCUGGAGCUCAAAUGCUAUAGCAUCCUUGGAGCACUCAUCAUGCAAAGAGGGGCUGAUUAUUAAUCAGCUUUGGACGCCCCGAUUAAAUUAAUUUUUGGGUCAUGUGACAUACUUGACCCAACUUAGAAAUUAGGUAGAACAAUUGGACAGUCUGUUAAUGUGAAAAGAGCUCGAAUUGCCCAUUAAGAGAGAGAAACCCGAUUGUCCAUCAAGGUGCCCAAAUAAGCUAUUCAAAGCUGAUUUAAAAUAUUUAAAAACAACCAUAAAACUCUCUCCAUUUUCCAUCCAACCCAUCUCCCUUUUUCAGCUUCCUUCUCUCAUGAAUUAUGCAUGAAUCGGUUAAAAGUCUUCCACCCACUCUCCUUGAAGUAAAGGCUGACCAUUGAGAGGAGAAAUUCAAGUACUUAAAUUUUCUAAAAAUAGCCCCUCUCCUCAUGUAUCCCUAGCGGAUCACUCAUUUCAAUUAUUCAUUCACUCAUCUUCUCUUCUCCUAUCUUCCAUUUUCUACUUCCCAUUUGAGAGAAAAGCAUAGAAAGUUGAGGGAAGCAAUUCAUAGAUGUGCUGAGUAACACAAUUUUGGUAUUCCUAAAGAAAAUGUGCAAGGAAGCAAAGCAAAAAUAAAUAAAAUAAAGAAGGGAGCACGAGCAGAAAGACAUUGGAUUUGUCUUCUUGUUCUUCCUCUUUUACUUUUAUUUUGUUUUUGCCUUGAUGAAUAUGCUUGUCAAAUAUUUUUUUAUGUUUUCAACUCAAUCAUAAUGGCUUAAUUUUA